CAAGUUAUUAAAUUUGUCCAUAUAAUCUUAAUGAUAAGGAUUAAGAGUUUCUACCAGAGGCCUAUAACCUCUGACUAUGGGCGAAUCCACUU
rnacentral:ncRNA from 1 species